UGAGGAAUAUUGGACAAUGGAGGCAACUCUGAUCCAGCCAUGCCGCGUGCAGGAAGACUGCCCUAUGGGUUGUAAACUCCUUUUAUACAGGAAGAAACCUUUCACGUGUGGAAAUCUGACGGUACUUAAGAAUAAGGAUCGGCUAACUCCGUGCCAGCAGCCGCGGUAAUACGGAGGUCCAAGCGUUAUCCGGAAUCAUUGGGUUUAAAGGGUCCGUAGGUGGAUAUUAAGUCAGAGGUGAAAUUUUGCGGCUCAACGUAAAAUUGCCUUUGAUACUGUUAUCUUGAAUCAUUUGAAGUGGUUAGAAUAUGUAGUGUAGCGGUGAAAUGCAUAGAUAUUACAUAGAAACCAAUUGCGAAGGCAGAUCACUAACAUUUAUUGACACUGAUGGACGAAAGCGUGGGGAGCGAACGGAUUAGAUACCCCGGUAGUCCACGCCGUAAACGAUGGUCACUAGCUGUUGGGACUUCGGUCUGAGUGGCUAAGCGA
rnacentral:rRNA from 1 species